rnacentral:rRNA from 1 species
UGCGUAGGCGGCUUCUUAAGUCGGAUGUGAAAUCCCUGAGCUUAACUUAGGAAUUGCAUUCGAUACUGGGAAGCUAGAGUAUGGGAGAGGAUGGUAGAAUUCCAGGUGUAGCGGUGAAAUGCGUAGAGAUGUGGAGGAAUACCGAUGGCGAAGGCAGCCAUCUGGCCUAUAACUGACGCUGAGGCGCGAAAGCGUGGGGAGCAAACAGGAUUAGAUACCCCCGUA